CAGAAAAUAGUUUAUUAAUAUAAAAAUAUUGAUUUUGGGGAUCAAAGAUAAAUAUUUAGUUUUUUUCUGA
rnacentral:tRNA from 1 species